rnacentral:lncRNA from 1 species
GUUCCCAUGAUCCAAGAGGGAAGAGGAUGAUAUGACUUUCAACCCUUGCACCCUGCAAUGCUCUCACCCUGCAACACCAACACCCAGCUCAACCUGACAUAGGACCAGAGGCCAGCUGCGGGCCGUCCAGCGGCUGUGCUACUUCUACAGCGUCGUCAUGCCCAGCGAGGCCCAGUGUGUCCUCUACCACGAGCUCCAGCUCUCCCUGGCCCGCAAGAACCUACAGAUCCACUCUGGACUACACCAAACAAAGUCUGGGGAUUCUCAUUCACCUCCAGAAGAAAGAGGAGGUGCAUGCCUGGCUGCAAGCAGAGAAGAUCUACUACAUCCUGCAGCAGAGCGAGCUAGUGGACCUGUACAUCCAGGUGACUCCAACCUGGGGUGGAGCUGUUUGAGGCAGCUGGAGACAUCUUCUUCAAUGGGGCCUGGGAGCGGGAGAAAUCUGUGUCCUUCUACCAGGUGAGCUGGCCUGUGGGCUGAUGUGGGUGGGCCUCACGGGGGGCACCUGGAGGGCUGAGCCACAGG